rnacentral:rRNA from 1 species
UACGUAGGGGGCAAGCGUUGUCCGGAAUUAUUGGGCGUAAAGAGCGCGUGGGCGGUCCGAUAAGUCAGCUGUGAAAGUCAGGGGCUCAACCCUUGAAAGCCGGCCGAUACUGUCGGACUAGAGUCCGGAAGAGGCAAGUGGAAUUCCUGGUGUAGCGGUGAAAUGCGCAGAUAUCAGGAAGAACACCCGUGGCGAAGGCGGCUCUCUGGGACGUGACUGACGCUGAGACGCGAAAGCGUGGGGAGCGAACAGG